UACGUAGGGAGCAAGCGUUGUCCGGAAUCAUUGGGCGUAAAGCGCGCGUAGGUGGCCUCAUAAGUCCGCUGUGAAAGUCAAAGGCUCAACCUUUGAAAGCCGGUGGAUACUGUGAGGCUAGAGUACGGAAGAGGCGAGUGGAAUUCCUGGUGUAGCGGUGGAAUGCGCAGAUAUCAGGAGGAACACCAAUAGCGAAGGCAGCUCGCUGGGACGGUACUGACACUGAGGCGCGAAAGCGUGGGGAGCGAACAGG
rnacentral:rRNA from 1 species